rnacentral:rRNA from 1 species
AGAGUUUGAUCCUGGCUCAGAUUGAACGCUGGCGGCAUGCCUUACACAUGCAAGUCGAGCGGCAGCGCGGGGGCAACCCUGGCGGCGAGCGGCGAACGGGUGAGUAAUGCAUCGGAACGUGUCCUCUUGUGGGGGAUAACCAGUCGAAAGACUGGCUAAUACCGCAUGAGAUCGAGAGAUGAAAGCAGGGGACCGCAAGGCCUUGCGCGAGAGGAGCGGCCGAUGCCGGAUUAGCUAGUUGGUGGGGUAACGGCCCACCAAGGCGACGAUCCGUAGCUGGUCUGAGAGGACGACCAGCCACACUGGGACUGAGACACGGCCCAGNACUCCUACGGGAGGCAGCAGUGGGGAAUUUUGGACAAUGGGGGCAACCCUGAUCCAGCCAUGCCGCGUGUGUGAAGAAGGCUCUUGGGUUGUAAAGCUCUUUCGGCCAAGAAGAAGGGGUAGCCUGCGAACAGUUGGCUAUUCUGACGGUACUGGAAGAAGAAGCACCUGCUAACUACGUGCCAGCAGCAGCGGUAAUACGUAGGGUGCAAGCGUUGUUCGGAAUUACUGGGCGUAAAGCGCGCGUAGGCGGGCUUGUAAGUCGAUUGUGAAAGCCCUGGGCUUACCCGGGAAUGGCAGUCGAAACUAUAAGUCUUGAGUGCCUGAGAGGAUGGCGGAAUUCCCGGGUGUAGAAGUGAAAUUCG